GGUUCAUUCAAAUUUCUGCCCUAUCAACUUUCGACGGCUGGGUCUUGGCCAGCCAUGGUGACAACGGGUAACGGAGGGUUAGGGCUCGACCCCGGAGAAGGAGCCUGAGAAACGGCUACUACAUCCAAAGAAGGCAGCAGGCGCGCAAAUUACCCAAUCCCGACCGGGGAGGUAGUGACAAUAAAUACUGAUACAGGGCUCUUUUGGGUCUUGUAAUUGGAAUGAGUACAAUUUAAAUCCCUUAACGAGGAACAAUUGGAGGGCAAGUCUGGUGCCAGCAGCCGCGGUAAUUCCAGCUCCAAUAGCGUAUAUUAAAGUUGUCGAGGUUAAAAAGCUCGUAGUUG
rnacentral:rRNA from 1 species